AGAGUUUGAUCCUGGCUCAGGAUGAACGCUAGCGGCAGGCCUAACACAUGCAAGUCGAGGGGCAGCACGGUGUAGCAAUACACUGGUGGCGACCGGCGCACGGGUGCGUAACGCGUAUGCAACCUACCCAUAACAGGGGGAUAACACUGAGAAAUUGGUACUAAUACCCCAUAACAUCAGGACCGGCAUCGGUUUUGGUUGAAAACUCCGGUGGUUAUGGAUGGGCAUGCGUUGUAUUAGCUGGUUGGUGAGGUAACGGCUCACCAAGGCAACGAUACAUAGGGGGACUGAGAGGUUAACCCCCCACAUUGGUACUGAGACACGGACCAAACUCCUACGGGAGGCAGCAGUGAGGAAUAUUGGUCAAUGGACGCAAGUCUGAACCAGCCAUGCCGCGUGCAGGAAGACGGCUCUAUGAGUUGUAAACUGCUUUUGUACGAGGGUAAACGCAGAUACGUGUAUCUGUCUGAAAGUAUCGUACGAAUAAGGAUCGGCUAACUCCGUGCCAGCAGCCGCGGUAAUACGGAGGAUCCAAGCGUUAUCCGGAUUUAUUGGGUUUAAAGGGUGCGUAGGCGGUUUGAUAAGUUAGAGGUGAAAUACCGGUGCUUAACACCGGAACUGCCUCUAAUACUGUUGAGCUAGAGAGUAGUUGCGGUAGGCGGAAUGUAUGGUGUAGCGGUGAAAUGCUUAGAGAUCAUACAGAACACCGAUUGCGAAGGCAGCUUACCAAACUAUAUCUGACGUUGAGGCACGAAAGCGUGGGGAGCAAACAGGAUUAGAUACCCUGGUAGUCCACGCAGUAAACGAUGAUAACUCGCUGUCGGCGAUACACAGUCGGUGGCUAAGCGAAAGCGAUAAGUUAUCCACCUGGGGAGUACGUUCGCAAGAAUGAAACUCAAAGGAAUUGACGGGGGCCCGCACAAGCGGAGGAACAUGUG
rnacentral:rRNA from 1 species